GUAUUAUUUGUGUCUUUUUUUUCUUUUCUUCUUCUUUUUCUUUUUCUUUCGGCGUUGGAUGCUUUUAUCUUCAUCUCUUUUCUGCUUCAACGGUCAAAAGAUGGGCGAUAAUCAGAGACAACCUCAGUAUCGACGAUCUCAGUUAAGCACAGGGAGAUGAUUGGUAUUGAUUAUCAGGAAGUGGAUUUGCUUAAGCAUGCGCCACCGGAAACAAAAAUCUUUCUAGUUUCUUAGAAGAAUGGAAGAGCAAAAUAUCUCAUCACCAAACUGCGGACUGAGUUGAUAAUCGGAUUAAGGGCACCAGUAAUGUGCUUGAAGAUGCAAC